CUCCUUAACUGGCAGGUAACCAUCGGUGAUCAGGAGGGCCAAGAUUCCAGGACGAGACUAUUCCAUUGCACUUCGGGUGAGCUGGCGCCUGCGGUAUCCUCCGAUGUGGGAUAUUGGACUGCAUAAUUUGUUGUGUGGGGACUGCCUUCGUUCUCAGA